CCGAGGUGUUAUGUUAUAAAAGUUUUGCUUCUAAAGGGUUUGAUCAAGGAAACAAUCAGUUUACUUUCGUUUCUACCACGUUCCGACAAGAGCUUCUUAGAGUCGUUCGUGAUCAAGCAUGAGGAACAAGUGCCUCAAUUGAUGGAUGUUUUCAAAGGGAAAACUGAUCUUGCAGAAGUAUGUUUUGGGUUUGGUGAAAAAUGUAGCGCUCCAAGG
rnacentral:misc_RNA from 1 species